AAAGUGUGAGAAAAUGUUGGUCGCAAGGAGAUUUUGGUCUAAAGCUUUUUGCAGUCAACUUUUAGAAAAUUGUAAUUAUAAAUACUAUACUUAACAAAAACAAAAUGGUGUUGAUAGAAUUUAUGUCACUUGGCCUCUCAAAGCGUUCUGUGUUCAGGAUAAGGAUAACACCGAUGAAAAAUAACACAAAGGAGUAAAGGAGCAAGUAAAAAAUAGUUUAUACACUUUGUUGUUGUACACGAAAAGCGCGUGUUCACGCAAAUGCAAUAUGUAAAUAUAUAUUAAAAUACAAAUGUAUGUAUAGAAAGGAAGUGUGCGCCAGCAAUAGAAUGGGUGAGGCAGUUAGUGAUCGAACUCCGGCAAGCACAAAAUUUAUUCGCACCUGCCUCUACGCUAUAUUUAAUAACGUAAUAUAUUUAAAAGAGAUUGAUUUUAUUUCAAUAAAAUGCAGAAUCAAUAAAACGGCAAUAAAUACAUAUACAGGACACAGAGAGAGGGUGAUAAAAUAUGUAAAUAUUCACUAUAUAUGUAUGUAUAUAUUAUAUGUAUAUACUGAUACAAAUUGGCGAAAAGAGGCGUCACAUUGGGACAUGCAAAUAGCUUUAUUCCGUAUAUGCGAUUGUGAGCGCACCUACAUAUGGGUGCACAUACAUAUAGUAUAUUGUAUAAUAAAUGAAUGCAUGGAUGAUUGUGGAAACAAACAAAGGCGGACAAAUCUGGCGUCUUUUCUUUUAAGCGUUGUAAUAUGCAUGCAAAUAAAUAUCCACACACACAGACAUACAAACCAAACUGCAAUAAAAGAACAACUAAUCUGUAAGGCACGUCAGAUGAAAGAAGCUACAUAUACACAUGUAGUUAUAUAGGCUACUGAUAUUCUUCCCAUAUUUGUACAAUAUAAAGUGUUUGAAAAAGAGCUAUGCAUCUACUGUAAUAAGAAGUUAAUUAAUGUUUGUAAGUAUAUAAAGUACGUAAUUGGUUUUAUCCUCUAACUGUUAAUUGAAUUAGGAAUUGGAUAUACUGCGUUGGUAAAUAUACUCACUAACGCAUACGUUAAGUUUUUGAGAAAUCACAAGAAUUAAUGUCAAUAUUUCUUCCUAAGCAUGAUAUUUAUUGCUUUGAACUGUUACAAUAAUUUUUACGUUAUUCCAAUAUGGCCUUUAUAUAUACACACAUAUCUAUGAUAAUGCGAGUAUAUUUUAAUAUAUGGGUUUUUAUGUUUGAAAUUUUUUGUUAUAAAUCCAAAAGAUUUUGGGUAUAUAGUGACAGAUGUAUGUAUAGUAUAUAGCUUAAACACUUCUAAUAUAAAUUUGUAUAUAUUUAUAAUCGUAUGGAACUGAAUCUCAGUCCAACAAGUUAACAAAAUAACACUACACAAUCGCUCUAAUAAUAUUCGGUUUAUUCAUAUAAUUCUUUUAUUUUAAUAUUACUAUUUUUCUAGUUUACUUUAUAAAGUAAGCGAAUCUUCGGGCUGUGCCAUAUUGCCAUUUUACUCAUGUCCCCAUCGAAAUAUUUCUAUGUUAAUAUACUUUUCUAAAGAAUUAUGUAUCAAUCCGAAUAAUUAAAUAGUUGGUCUCCAACAUUCUCUGGAUAAAAAAGAAUGGAAGUCACUACUAUUGCAGGUGUAAGUGUAUGUGAGUUAAUAAAUUUUUACGUACUAUUUAACAAUUUGUGCUAUCAUUUGAUCUUUUCAUAUAUAUGUAUAUAAAUAUAUACAUAUGUAUGUGUUUCUGACUUUAAGUAAUUCUAAAUAUGUUUCCGCAUUCAUGAUCUCAUGAAGAUCGUUAUUAAAUAAAUGCAUGUUUUAACUGUUUUCUUUAAGCAAACUUUCUUUAAUUUUAUUAAUUCUUUUUUCGUUACUUUAUAUAAGAAAUCUUUAGUUAACGAAUAUUGGAAGAAAUACUACAAAAAUAAUGAUGAGAAAGUCAGAAAAAAAGGUUUAAAAAGGUGCAAUUUGUAAAACUUGUAAAUUCACUUAAGGUAAAUACAUAACCUGCAAUGCCAACUUAUUAAGAAUGGAUGAAUAUGCAUUUAUUUUAUAUCACGAAAACAAACAAAUAAUGUUAAAUGCUUUAAAUAAGGAGAAAAUAAGUCAAUGUAAGUUGUAAAUUUUUAUUAGAAUGUAUAACACUUAAUUUUAAAUUAAAACUAAAUUUUAUAAAAAAAGGAGCUAUUUUAAUACAUUCUUAAUAUAUUUUACAUUAAUUUACAAAUACAUAGUUACUUAAUUUAAAUAAUUUACAAGUGAACCCCCGAGAAACAACGAAAUUCAUUUUCUAGUUCCAUAAAAUCUUGUUUCCAAUCCAAUUCACACAAUAAAAUGAGGAAAACUUUGUCAGUAUUCCUACACUCAUUCUAGUCUUAAAUACCUGUAAAAAGUACGGUAAACGGUUUUUGAUAUUUCUAUAAGUCAAUUCCAUGAAUAUUCGCGCCAAUAUCAAACUAAUGUAUAGAUAAAGUGUGCAAAAGCAUAAUAAUUUUUCUAUUAGAUCAACCAUACAGAAUUAUAAUAGAAUUUGUAAUAGCUCAAUUCUUUCUUUCUGCAUAGGCAUAGUGUUUAAAAUAUAAAAAAAAUUCGGAUUCAAAUUAUAUUUAUGUACAUGUGUUUUAACAACUAGUGAUCAACCGAAUUAAAUAUCUCAAAAUAGUGACUAGCAAGGUUGGAAAAAGAAACUAAUAGACAAAGGUCAUCAAGCUAAAUGAUAUACAUAUUUAUAACAUGGUCAGAUUUAAAUAGAGUCAGCCGAGACAUAAUCCUCCCAUACCACUAAACUUCAGAUAAGUAUGGCACUCUAGGCGUUAGUUCUUGGUUUGUAUCUCCCAUUCUUGCCACAUGGCUAUAAGAUGAUUUCUGUGGAUCGUCGCUCCUGACCAAAUAGUAUAGGGUCACAGUUGAAUGCUUCUGUAGCAGCAGGUGAAAAUUUGGAAGUACGUUUCACACGACCGCUACUGGGUGCCGACGCGGUAGUGACCACAGAAGCACCGUUACUGCCACAAAUGGCCGUGACAGUUGUGACAGCGUUAAGCGAUUGCAGUGAUAUCUGCUGUGAUGUGCCUGAAGCUGUGGAAAUACUAGCUGCACUGUUCAUAGGUGGGUAUUUGAUGAUUGUUGUAAUUGAUGGGGUCAAUGUGGCCGUGGAACUAUCAUUGCUCCCAUGUCGUGUACCCUUUUGGUGUUGUUCCGACACUGUAAAAUAAUAAAAAAAAAGUUAUAGUGACCCCAAUUAAGAGCGCAUAGGAGCAUUUGUACUCACCUUGUGUUUCUGUUAGUCGCGCUGUUGCAGGUUCGUGAAGAACGGCCGUUUUUCUUAUAGUCUGCUGAAGUAGCGAGUUCACGUCGAUCGCUGGCCACGCGACCAGCGAAACACUUCGUCAUAAGUAGCAGUCCAUGGCAGAAGCAGGGUUUUUAUGGCGAUGAUGUUUGGUGUAGUGUUUGCAUGGCUUUUUACCAAGUUCCCCGGCAUCGACCGAUUUAUCCGCUGUAAUUUCGCUAGGUGUCUUCAAUGGUCUAUGAGUGGGCGUAUCUGUGGGAGAAAAAUGGCUUUGCUGAUUGUUGGAGGAGAGUGAGAAAUACUCUGCCGAUUGGCUCGGAGAGGAACAAAUGUCCUCGGCAAAUGUGUUGGUCAAACUUCGUAGUGUCACAUCGGCUUCUUCCGCACCAGGCGUUGACACAGCUGAUGAGGCAUUUGUUAACGGUGUUAGUGUACUUGAGUGUUCUAGCUCAAGUUCGGCAGUCGAUGUUAAAGCUGUACAGGGGUUGUCCCGCGCUGUAAGCAUCUGACCAGUCGUUGAGUCGCAGUCGUCCUCAACAACAUCCGCACAUUUACAUUCACAACAAUAACAAGUGCUCGAAUGACAGGAGCAAUAACUCGCACUGCUCCUUCUACUCGUAUGCGCAGAACUAUCCGUACCAUUGUUAUCCGGUAUGGAUCGUUGCGAAUGUUUGACCAUUUUAGCGGUCACUUUUUCAUAUUUACCACCGUCCUCCUCUUCCGCUUCAUCGCCAGUAGACGUUGUGGAUGUUUGACGGAAAUUACAGCGAUGACAUUCUGCCGACACCACUAGUUCGUGAGGUGCCAUCCGUCGUUCCUCAUCAUUGUCGUCUGCUUCCAACUCAUCGAAACUGCUGCAGCUAGUGGCAUCUGCAUUCUGGCAGGAACAAUCCGAACAAUGUGAGCAAGUGCUGCAACAUUCAUCUGCUCCACUCGCCUUGAAUUGUUUGCGCUGAAUUCGAACACAUUCGUUAUGUGCCGCGUCAAGUUUGCUAGCCUCUCUCUUCUUGAUGCAACACUGAGAGUCCUUACAGUAAGCUAUCUCUGGUGUAAUAGUGUCUUCAUGUCGGUCGGUGUUGGAUUCAGUCCAAAUUGGUAUGUUAUCACAAUCUGAAAAACAAUGUAUACAUAGUUUCAAGUUAUAAAAUAUUUUUGUACUUUCUUAACGAAGACCGAAGAAGUCCAAAUUUUUAACUGCAUUUUACCCGAAACUCAACGUUGAUAUUUUUGCUUUCCCAUUCAGUAUUUUACUUUAGAUUUAUAUAAUACUUGAUAAUAUUAGAUCUUACCUGUCUUCUUAUGUCUCACACCGGAAUUUCUAUGAGACAAUUCAUCAGUUUCUCCUGUGCUGGUCGAAUUCAUGGAAUCACAUCGAUAAUCAUGAUAUUUUCUCCUUUGUGUCUUGUCAUCCUCAUCGUUGUCGUGUAUUGGCGCCAUUAUUAUGGGCGCUAUAUUAGCCUUCGCCAUUUUAUACGCAAAAUUUGAGGUGGCAGUGCUUGUGUUGUCUUCAGUCAAUGUGGCUGCAUCGAUUUCAAUUGCAAUGUCGUGCAAGCGUUCUUGCUGAUUUCCAAGGCCAGAUUGUUGUAGAUCAUCGCUGGAGUCAAAGGAAGACUUACUGGUAUAACCUGGAAGUUGGCGGACGUGUUUAUCCCGUUGCUGAAGUUCCGAUUGUAAGUGACGAUACUGAUGAUGUCGGUGCCUAUGAUGGUGUGAAUGAUGAUGUCGAUUAUUUUUGUGUUUAUUACACCCACACGACUUUUUGCUGCUCUUCUCUCCGUCCCCACCACUGCCCGGAGAAUAAUGGUGACAAUGGUGUGUGAUGUGGCAGUGCGAUGUAAUUUCACCGGAUUUUAAAUCACCACUAAUUAGGCUGCAACAGUCGGUAGAUUUUCUGUUUCCACAACAAUUAAUUGAUGCGCUAUGACUAUGGCAAUUUAUCAAUUGGCUGCAGUUCACUAUGGAGCUUGGUGUUUGUGUGGCAUUAUGGCGCUGCCGCACCACAUCACUAUGUUGACACCGGCAUCUGCGACGUGCUCUGCCAUCAGUUUCUGUGGCCGCAACGUUAUCAAUUGGAAAAUCAGAUUUCGAACGACUUGAUGAGUUUCUUAAUAUGCCAUUGGAGUUUUUGACAAUCACUACGGCGUCUAAUGCGUAAUUCUCGUCAGUUGGGAUGACAUUGGAUAACCCCUUUAUUUUCGAAAGUGUAUUGUUAUUGUGGUGAUAUUGGAAGGCUCUGUUAUCAUGAUAUUUUUUAUAUUCGGUAUUUCCAUAGUUGUUGAAAUGUUCAUUAUCUGCAUUUGCGGUAAGCAGAUGAUCAUCUCCGCUACUCGUAGGCGAAAUAGCAAGAGAUUGGUUGUUGUCCGUGGUAUUGGUUUGAGUGUGAAUAUCAUGUGGAUUGUUUUGUGUUUGUUGUGGUUGUUCUUCGGGGGCAAACUGCUAAUCUCCGCGGCGCAUAUCACGCGCCUUCGUGUUCUUUCUAUAGAACCACACUUGCAAAAGAAUUGCAA